CGACAAUUCCACUCUGAUGCUGAAUAUUAAUGGACCCACCAAAUAAUAAGAUGGAGUAGGGAGAAACAACAGAAGUAUCUCGGAUAAAGACUUUAUUGGUUUCCACCUUUUCAAGGAACGCAUGGAAGGGGUACUGAAAUGCUUUUAGAUUACUGUUGACAGAAGAAGGGUGUAUGUAUACUUCUCUUCUACCAUCAUACAACACUGGACGAGCUGUGGUAGCAGGACCAGAGGAUCGCCCAAGGCUACUGAGAGUUGCUUCAGUAAUUCCUUCCUCACCAGCAGCUAUG
rnacentral:misc_RNA from 1 species